rnacentral:lncRNA from 1 species
GUAUGAUAAUUGAGACUGAGCUAACAGAUGAGAAUCCUAGUCAUUGGCCAAGCAGCUUUGUGACUAAUACAAGUCUCUCUGUGUAUUCAUUUGGGCCUAACUCGGGCGGGUGGCUGGCAUAAAGCUCACAUGUGGCGGUGGGGCUCAGACAGCUUUUGGCAGAAAGAUUUAUCGUAACAGGUGAUGGUUUCAAUUCUUUCCACAUUUUCUCCAACAUUUAUCAUCAGAUUUUUGCAUGAUAGCCAUGAUGACUAGAGUGGUAUUUCACAGCAAUAGUUUUAACUUGCAUUUUCCUAGGGACUAGGGAUAGUGAACCUUUUUCUUUUCUUCCUUCCUUCCUUCCUUCCUUCCUUCCUUCCUUCCUUCCUUCCUUUCUUUCUUUUGAGACAGGUUUCUCUGUGUAACCCUGGCUGUCCUGGAAUUCACUCUGUAGACCAGGCUGGCCUCAAACUCUGAGAUCUGCCUGCCUCUGCCUCCCUAGUGUUGAGAUUAAAGACAUGUGCCGCCAACCAUCCAGCACUGAAUACUUUUAAAAAUACCUAUUAGCCAUUUGCCUGCCUGCCUUCCUGCCUUCCUUCCUUCCAUCCUUCCUUCCUUCCUUCCUUCCUUCAUUUUUUCUCUCUAUUCAGUUCAUUUGCCCAUGUGUUGAUUGACAGUUUUAUUCUCUGGGUAUUUAAUUUCUGCUUUCUUUGUAAAUUCUACACUUCAGCCUAUAUCUGAAGUGUAACUAGUUAAGAUUUUCUCCCACUCUGGGCUGUCUGUUAACUCUGCUGAUAAUGUCCUUUUCUGUAGAGAAACUUUUUAUACUCCUGUAUCUAUUGAUACUGGGGUUACUUCCUGUGCUGCUGGUGUUCUAUUUAAAAAGUUAUUACCAUAGUAAUAUGGUAUCUCAGCAGCUGGGAAACAGAGGCAGGUGGAACUCUUUGAGUUCCAGAACAGCCUGAUCUACAGAGUGAGUUGAGGAACCCCCUCUCAAAAAAACAGUUUGUGCCUAUUCCAGUAUCUUGAAGGGUACUACUCUGUUGUGCUUUCUGCUAGAAGUUUCAGUGUUUCUAGUUUUAAGUUAAGGUCUUUGAUCUAUUUUGAAUUGAUUUUUGUUCAAGGUAAACGAAUCUAAUCCCAUCUUUAAUCCCAGCACUCGGGAGGCAGAGGCAGGCGGAUCUCUAUGAGUUCGAGGCCAGCCUGGUCUCCAGAGUGAGUUCCAGGACAGCCUCCAAAGCUACACAGAGAAACCCUGUCUCAAAAAAACAAAAAAAUAAAAAAACUAAUUUGUCAGCACCAUCUGUUGAGCAGGCCAUCUUUUUUCUUUCUUUCUUUCUCUCUUAUUUUAGUUUAUUGAAGGGAAAGGGAAGAAGAGAAGGGGGAAAGGGGAGAGAGAAAGAACCAGAGAAGAGGGACAGAGAAGCAGGGUGGGGGUGGGGAGGGUGUUUUCUAAAAGUAUCUUUCUGCCUUCUUUGUCAUGAAUUUGGUGGGAAUUUGCCAUUUUGCCUCUAUUCUGUUCCAUUGGUCUUCUUUUCUCCCCCCACCACCCCAAGACAGGAUUUCUCUGUGUAGCCCUGACUGUCCUAGAACUCACUCUAUAAACCAGGCUGGCCUUGAACUCGGAGAUCCUGAGUGCUGGGAUUAAAGGCAUGCACCACCAUCAAUCACCAGCCUCUUCCUUUUAUUUUUAUGCCAGUGUGUCUUUGUCACUAUAGCUCUGUAGAAUAAUUACACCCCAGCACUGUUCUCUCUCCUGAGGAUUGCUUUGGCUAUUUGUGGUAUAUUGUGGUUCCAUUUGAAUUUGUACAUUAAUUUUUCUAAACCUUUGAGAUAGAACAUAGGAGUUUUGAUAAGUAUUGCAUUAAUUCUUUUCUAAAAGAUUUUAUUUAUUUAUUAUGUAUACAGUCUUCUGCCUGUAUGCCAGCAGAGGAUACCAGAUCUCAUUCAAGGUGGUUGUGAGUCACCAUGUGGUUGCCAGGAAUUGAACUCAGGACCUCUGAAAGAGCAGUCAGCGCUCUUAACCUUUGAGCCAUCUCUCCAGCCCCCACAUUAAUUCCCUGUAUUAGUCUUGGCUUAGAUAUUUCAAUAUUAAUUCUACCAAUUCUGGAGCAUGGAAUAUUUUUUCAAAAUCUAGUAUCUUCUGUGAUUUUUCUUUUUCAUUAACUUGAAUUUUUGUUGUAGAAAUAUUUCACUUCUUUGGCUAGAUAUAUAUUUUGUAACAUUUUGUUGGUUGGUUGGUUGAGACAGGAUGUUUCUACAUUGUAAGUGUUGCAGCUCUGAAGGGAAAGGUAUCCUGACUGUCGGGAGCCAAACUGUAUCUAUAGCUGCAAAGGGAAAGAUAUCCUGACUGUCAGAAGACAGACUAUACCUAUAGCUGUGAAGGGAAGGUAUCCUGGAUACCUAUAACUUCAGAGAGAAGGUAUCCUGACUGUUGGGAGCCAGGCUACACCUAUAGCUGUGUUCCAGUGAGUGACGGUUUCCCCUCAGGUAUGUAGCAGUCCUGCUCCUAUCUGAGAGAGCAGUUACUGCUGAGCUCUGCUCCACUACGAGUUUCCCAGCAGAGAUGCCGCUUACUUCUCUGCUCUGGGGAAAGUUGUUACUUCCCUGCUUCACUCUGCUAAGUGGGAAACCCCCACAGAAAUGUAUCAGUUUGCCUCUGCUCCAGUGAAAGUUGUUACUUCUCUGCUCUGCUCCAUUAAGGGAGUUUGCCAGCAGAGAUGUCCAUUGCUUCUCCACUCCGUUCCACUCUGGUUAAAGAAGGUCUUCACCCAAAACUCAUUCAAGAGAUUUAUUGGGAAGGAGGAAUCCAGGAUAGUGGCUGCCUCUGCCAGGGUAGAAAAAGGCAGCCCCUAAUUGAACAGGCACAGGACUUAUAUAGGGCUUCUUAGGGGCAGAGUUUUUCCAGGUGGACAUUUUCAGGGUGGGAAUUGGUCAAAUUUCAAUCCCUGAGCUUGGAUAAACUCAGAGACUGGCUGAAUUUUGUGCUCAAGGAUUGGUUGGGUUUUGUGCUGAGUUGGUCAUGGGCAGAGAGUGUUUCUUUAGCUCUGGUUUCAGAGCCAAAGUGUGUUUCUUUCACUGGCUCCUUUUAACCUUUUGGCUCUGGUUUCAAGGCCAGGGUGUGUUUCUUUCACUGGCUCUGGUUUCAGGGCCAAAGUGUGUUUCUUUGGCUGGCCCUUUUACCCUACGUACAUAACCCUUGAUGUCCUGGAACUCACUUUUGAGACUAGGCAGACUUAGAACUCACAGAGCUCCACCUGCAUCUGCAUAUUCUGUAAUUCUUUAAGGCUCCCAUUUUCAGAAUGAUCAAUGAGUCUUGGCUUCUAUGAUGGUAAUAUUGAUCAUCAAAUUGACUGGAACUAGAAUUGCCUAGGUGACAAACCUCUGGGUAAUCUCUGGGUACACUUGUGAAGGAUUAUCUAGAUUAGCCUAACUGGGGUAAGAAGACCACCCUAAAUGUGGUUAGCACCAUCCCCCACCUUCUGUCCUGGCCUGCAUAAAAAGGAGGAAGCAAGCCCAGCACUUCAUUCAUCCUCUGCUUCUUGACUGUGCUCACAGUGUGACCAGCUGCUUCUGGCUCCUGCUGCCUUGAGUUCCCUGUUGUGAUGGCCUGUACCAUGAACUCACCAUGUCUGCCUGCAGGCUGCCGUGUCCCACCAUGAUGAUAGCGGACUGAACCUCUGAACUGAUGCUCUGAGCUGCAGUGAUGGGGAUGUCAUGGUGAUGAAGAAGAGGAAGAAGGAGAAGGGGAGAGGAAGGAGAAGGAGAAGGAGAAGAAGAAGAAGAAGAAGAAGAAGAAGAAGAAGAAGAAGAAGAAGAAGAAGAAGAAGAAGAAGAAGAAGAAGAAGAAGAAAUAAUUAGCUAAACUGUUUUAAAAAUAGUCUGUUACCUCUCUAGCAACAAGAGGCACCAAAGUAAUGUAACUCAAGGACUUGUGUUAAAGUCAUCAAAGCCAAGUUUCUUUCUGUCCUCAGUGCAUUAUCUUAGUCUGUACACCAGUUCUCCUCUGAGACACAAGAUGGCUACAGAAGGUCCAGAUCUCACAUCAUUACCGCUAUGGUCGAUACCAGAAAAGGGCUCUUUUUUUUUUUUUUCAUUCUGCUUUCCUAUUUUUGUCAUAGAAUCAAAAAAUAAAGAAAAGAAAAUCCUCUUUCCUUAAAAUCUGUCCCCUGAGCCCUUCCCUUGCAUGUCUUCCGCUUCCAUGGAUCUGACAUUCACAUCUAACCCUGUCACUGGCUAGAAAAGGGGCCACCAUUUCCACAGAAGCUGAAUCUGGGUCCUCUCCAAAACUGGGUAGACCAGUCUCCCCUGAAAUGUGUGACUGAGUAAUGAAAGACGGAGGUUAUCAAAAUAACUUCAAGAGAGGCAGUUGACCAUGGUAGGGUCAACAUUUUGUGAAAAUCGAAAACAGUGGAUUCAUUCUUUGGGGAAAAAUUGUGAAAUACCAAAGUAAGUACAAGGCAAAUAAAAUGGAUUAACACAUUCUUUGCUUCAUUCAUUCAUUCAAUAAUUUAAUUAUUGAGUGCCUAUUAAAAAUUGCCACUAUUUCCAUUCAAACACAGUCAGUAACCAUCCCCAGGCUUAAUCAAAAU